rnacentral:rRNA from 1 species
AACUGGAAAGCGGGUCCUUCGGGAUGCCGGCGAGCGGCCCGUGACAGGGGUGAGUAAUGCCUAGGAAUCUGCCGUAGUGGGGGAUACCAGUGAACGGACGCUAAUACCGCAUACGUCCAGUAGCAGGGAGUGGGGGAUCUUCGGACCUCACCCGUCCAGAUGAGCCUAGGUCGGAUUAGCUAGUUGGUGGGGUAAUGGCUCACCAAGGCGCCAAGUGAAAUUUGGACCAGUAGACGGUCUGAGACCCCAGGUAGAUACACUGGAACUGAGACACGGUCCAAGGCAGCAGUGGGGAAUAUCCGAUGAAUCCGAUCCGAUAGUUAGCAAGUUGCCGAUGCAGUCAGUUAAUACAACAGAAUACCAGUAGAAAUCCGAAACUUCGUGCCAGCAGCCGCCCGAUGACAGGGGUGCAAGCGUUAAAAUUACUGGGCGUACCGAUGACGGGUGAGUAGGUGGUUCAGCAAGUUGGAGGUGAAAUCCCCGGGCUCGUCGUAGAUAUAGGAAGGAACACCAGUGGCGAAGGCGACUACCUGGACUGAUACUGACACUGAGGUGCGAAAGCGUGGGGAGCAAACAGGAUUAACGAUGACGGAUGUCCACGCCGUAAACGAUGUCGACUAGCCGUUGGGAUCCUUGAGAUCUUAGUGGCGCAGCUAACGCGAUAAGUCGACCGCCUGGGGAGUACGGCCGCAAGGUUAAAACUCAAAUGAAUUGACGGGGGCCCGCACAAGCGGUGGAGCAUGUGGUUUAAUUCGAAGCAACGCGAAGAACCUUACCUGGCCUUGACAUGCUGAGAACUUUCCAGAGAUGGAUUGGUGCCUUCGGGAACUCAGACACAGGUGCUGCAUGGCUCCAAGUAGAUGGAGUCGUCAGCUCGUGUCGUGAGAUGUUGGGUUAAGUCCCGUACCAGCCUUAGUUACCAGCACGUUAUGGUGGGCACUCUAAGGAGACUGCCGGUGACAAACCGGAGGAAGGUGGGGAUGACGUCAAGUCAUCAUGGCCCUUACGGCCAGGGCUACACACGUGCUACAAUGGUCGGUACAAAGGGUUGCCAAGCCGCGAGGUCCGAUGACCAUGGACAAUUGGAAACCGAUCGUAGUCCGGAUCGCAGUCUGCAACUCGUGAAGUCGGAAUCGCUAGUAAUCGGAAUCACGACUG